UAUAAAUAAGAUUUUAAUUCAAGGAAAUUCUCAAAUAAAUGAGGAUGCGUAAUGUAAUUAUGCAUGACUCAUAUUCCUUUAAUUAUUAAUCCAACUAUUGGAUUAAAACUCGUCUUAUGAUACAAGAUUAUAAAUCUUAAUAAUCCACUCAUCUUGAAUUAGUCUAACUCACUUACCAACUAACCAUUAGCAAGUAUUAAAAUUAAUCACUAAUUAAAAUAAUUAGGAUUAAUAAAGGGGGCCUAAAUUAAUAAGUCUCAUUGGGCUUAACUAAAUAAUCUCAUUGGACUUAAUCAACUAAAAAGUAGGAGCCCAAAUGAUAAAAUCUCGAAGCCCAUUUUAAAUAAAUUAAAAUUUUCCCAAUGAAAUAAAGCUGGCCCAAAUGAAUUAAUUCCUCAAGCCCAAUCACAAAAAAUUCAAGAGCCCAAAAAAAAGAGCCCAAAAUCCUCACUCUCUCCCUCAAUCUCGGUUCUCUCUCUAUUUCUCAAAAUUAGUCUCAGCCAUUUCUCUCUCUCUUUCUCUUCAAAUCUCUCUCUUCUUCUUCUCAAGGUCCGAAUCUCUCUCCUCUUUUUCUCAAGGCCGACGCUCGGCCUCUUCUUCUCCGCCGAGGACCGCUCGGCCACUUCCGUCCAGAAGUCUCGCCGCCUCUUGCUCCGGUCGGCGUCUGCUGCCUCCGUCGAGCGGCCGCUGCUCCGGACCUUGGCACCAGUAUACCUCCUUACAUCUCUCUUUCUCGCACCGCCCUCAGCCGAGGAGUCCGCUGCCGCAGCUCCGGAAUCCGGCAAAUCAGUCGGCGCCUUCUCCUUCUCACACCUCUAUUCUCCGUCUCGAUUCACGGACGAAGGCAAAAUGAAAAGAGAGCCCUGAUUUCCUCCCCAAAUCAGAGAGCGCCGCCGCCGCUGCAACUAGAAGGCUGGCGAAGAUCUGGUGCAACCGCCGCCGUCCGCCGACACGCCUGGAAGCUCUAUCGCCGGACGUCGCCGCUGCUGAGGUAACGCCGCCGCCCGGAGUUGCAGCUGCCUUGCCCGGAAUCGAGGUCGCUGGUCUGAUCUCCAGCAGCCCGCCUCGCUCAGAGCCACCGCCGCCGUCGUCAACUGGAGUCUCGGCGGCCGCGGUCUCUCUUGGAUCCGCCGGCGUCGUUGUUCCAGAGUUGACGAGGGACGACAGAUAGUUUCUGCCGACAGCGGCCAGCCCGUUGGAGCUGCCCUUCCCCGGAGUCCGACUCGUUCUCCUCCCUCUCGUUUUAUCACUCCAUAGGAGUGGGGAUUUGCUUAAGUUUAAGCAGAAGCUUGAAUGAUCUCUCUCUUGUUGUUGGCGUGUGAAGAAGUGAAUGGAAUUGCUUGGCUGAUGAUUUUAAAAGAUGGGAGUUGUUGGCUUAUACUACAAGGAAGUCAAAAUGUGUCUGCCUCUUUUAGAGAAGGUGUAGUCAUCGGUUGCGGAUGAGGUGGUUGGAGGACUUGGGCGGCUGGAGCAUGCUAAGGAAUAGGGUAGGGAGAAGGGGAUUGGUGGAGUUGGGGGGGCUGUGGCAGAGCUAUUGCUGCUUCACACACGCACGCCUCCUCUCUCUUUUCUUUCUUCUCUUAUUUCCUCCCUAUUUCCUUUCUUUGUAGUCAACAUUCUCAUGCUUAGGUAGAUAUUAGUAUUGUAAUAGCUAGGUUGGUUGUGGUGCAAAUAAAUAAAAUCCCUUUGGCUUCAAAAUUCUAAAUCUGUAAUAUGAAAUGCGUAUCUGUGUAUUUGCUUGA